rnacentral:rRNA from 1 species
GAUGAACGCUGGCGGCGUGCCUAAUACAUGCAAGUCGAGCGAAUGGAUUAAGAGCUUGCUCUUAUGAAGUUAGCGGCGGACGGGUGAGUAACACGUGGGUAACCUGCCCAUAAGACUGGGAUAACUCCGGGAAACCGGGGCUAAUACCGGAUAAAAUUUUGAACCGCAUGGUUCGAAAUUGAACGGCGGCUUCGGCUGUCACUUAUGGAUGGACCCGCGUCGCAUUAGCUAGUUGGUGAGGUAACGGCUCACCAAGGCAACGAUGCGUAGCCGACCUGAGAGGGUGAUCGGCCACACUGGGACUGAGACACGGCCCAGACUCCUACGGGAGGCAGCAGUAGGGAAUCUUCCGCAAUGGACGAAAGUCUGACGGAGCAACGCCGCGUGAGUGAUGAAGGCUUUCGGGUCGUAAAACUCUGUUGUUAGGGAAGAACAAGUGCUAGUUGAAUAAGCUGGCACCUUGACGGUACCUAACCAGAAAGCCACGGCUAACUACGUGCCAGCAGCCGCCGUAA